ensembl:snRNA U6 U6 spliceosomal RNA
AGUGAGUGCUCUCUAUACACUAAAAUUAAAACAAUGCAAAGAAGAUCAGCAUGGCCCUGCACAAGGAAAACAUGCAAAUUCAUGAAGCACUGCAUAUUGUA